rnacentral:tRNA from 1 species
GGAGAGGUGGCAGAGUGGUUGAAUGCGUCGGUCUCGAAAACCGGUAUAGGGGAAACUCUAUCGAGGGUUCGAAUCCCUCCCUCUCCG